AAGGAGUUAGCAAGGUGGGAAGAGGCUGGAUCAGUACCUAGGCCGCUGUCUGGAGAAGAAAUUUGGAGGAAUGAGAGGACGCAGGAGACAAGGAAGCAGGCUUCGUGUCAGUCCAGAGGAUGCUGCAACAAGACACCAUCUAGGAAGCAGAGACCAGACCCCCAUCAUAGACUGAACCUGCCAACACCUUCAUCUUGGA